UACGUGGGGUGCGAGCGUUGUCCGGAAUUAUUGGGCGUAAAGGGCUCGUAGGCGGCUUGUCACGUCGGGUGUGAAAGCCCGGGGCUUAACCCCGGGUCUGCAUUCGAUACGGGCAGGCUAGAGUGUGGUAGGGGAGAUCGGAAUUCCUGGUGUAGCGGUGAAAUGCGCAGAUAUCAGGAGGAACACCGGUGGCGAAGGCGGAUCUCUGGGCCAUUACUGACGCUGAGGAGCGAAAGCGUGGGGAGCGAACAGG
rnacentral:rRNA from 1 species